UACGUAGGGAGCAAGCGUUAUCCGGAUUUAUUGGGUGUAAAGGGUGCGUAGACGGAGAAGCAAGUUAGUUGUGAAAUCCCUCGGCUUAACUGAGGAACUGCAACUAAAACUACUUCCCUUGAGUACUGGAGAGGAAAUUGGAAUUCCUAGUGUAGCGGUGAAAUGCGUAGAUAUUAGGAGGAACACCAGUGGCGAAGGUGACUUUCUGGACAGUAACUGACGUUGAGGCACGAAAGUGUGGGGAGCAAACAGG
rnacentral:rRNA from 1 species